rnacentral:rRNA from 1 species
GAUGAACGCUAGCGGCAGGCUUAACACAUGCAAGUCGAGGGGCAGCAUAAUGGAUAGCAAUAUCUAUGGUGGCGACCGGCGCACGGGUGCGUAACGCGUAUGCAACCUACCUUUAACAGGGGGAUAACACUGAGAAAUUGGUACUAAUACCCCAUAAUAUCAUAGAAGGCAUCUUUUAUGGUUGAAAAUUCCGAUGGUUAGAGAUGGGCAUGCGUUGUAUUAGCUAGUUGGUGGGGUAACGGCUCACCAAGGCGACGAUACAUAGGGGGACUGAGAGGUUAACCCCCACACUGGUACUGAGACACGGACCAGACUCCUACGGGAGCAGCAGUGAGGAAUAUUGGUCAAUGGACGCAAGUCUGAACCAGCCAUGCCGCGUGCAGGAUGACGGCUCUAUGGAUUGGCAAACUGCUUUUGUACUAGGUAAACUCACCUACGUGUAGGUGACUGAAAGUAUAGUACGAAUAAGGAUCGG